rnacentral:tRNA from 1 species
UGGGGCGUCGCCAAGCGGUAAGGCACUGGACUCUGACUCCAGUAUUCGAAGGUUCGAAUCCUUCCGCCCUAGCCA